UUCUGCCAUGUUUCGAGACGCAUAAUCAGAUAAAUGAUUAUGUGUCAGAUACCAAAUGGCAUGAACCUUAAUUUAAAACAAAUAUAAAAAUGUUUUGCAGAACAAUGUGCAAUCUCAGCCAAAAGAUGGUGAUUUUUAUUG
rnacentral:snoRNA from 1 species